AUUGGUCCAUUUGAGGAGGAAAAUGCUUUAAUAGAGCACCCAGCUGUAGCAGAAUCUGCUGUGGUCAGCAGCCCUGAUCCGGUUCGAGGAGAUGUAGCGCAGUGCUUUCUGGAAUUGCCUUCUGCAUGAAGGAUACAUGCAGUGUGAUCUUAGAAUUAGGCAAAAAUUACAACUUAUAAGGUAGUACCAUAAUUAGCAGCAGAGCGCAUAUGAUGCAUUAAAAUGGUGUGUGGUGAAGGCUUUUGUAGUGCUGACAGUCAAGAGACCAUAAGGAACUGAUCCAGGAACUGCAAACACAUGUGAAGACUAUCACGGCUCCUUAUAAAUAUCCACGCAAGAUUGAGUUUGUUGAUCACCUGCCCAAGACGGUUAGCGGGAAAAUCAGGCGAGUUGAGUUAAGAAAGAAGGAAUGGGGACCGCAAUCAAAAAUGG